GCUGAGAUGCCCGAGUGGUCUAAGGGGGGUGUCUUAAGAACAUCUGGCGUAAGUCGCGUGGGUUCGAACCCCACUCUCAGCA
rnacentral:tRNA from 1 species